UUUCUCUCUAGCUUUCUCGAAUCUCCCUGCUCAUUUCCCACCUCCACCAUUCCCCAAUCUCCCUAGCGCAUUUGUUGCUCUCGCCGCCCCAGCGUGGCUCAUCCAUCUCCUCUCCACUGGCAGUAGAAAUCGAGUGCUCCUCGCCCGCGCAACACGCGUCGGCGAGGCACCUCCUCCGCCGGCUCCUCGCCUGCGCAGCACGUGUCGGUGAGGAAUCAAUUCCACUCAAAGCAGAGGGCGGUCUGGAGAGGGAGAAGCCGGCGGAGGAGGUGAGGAGCUCGAAAGAGUAGGAGGAAGCGGCGGGGCAGGGUGUGGCGGUGGCAAAAGCUCCGGCAUGCUUGCCAUUGGGCAUCGAUGGCGGCAAGAGCUAGCUAGGCAUGGCAAGUCCCGAUGAGGUUCACCAUCCACGAGAUGCAUAUCCUGCAGGCUGGUCUCGUCGAUUGAUUCUCUCCUCUCGGGCCUCACCAAGGUCGUCGUCGACAUGCUAGCUAAACUAAUCGACCAUACGUGCAGCCCAGCCCGCGGUUCUACAUGGGACUUCAUUUGCUUCGUCUAGAACUUCUGCAUCAUGAGCCUCGCAAAGAUGGCCGCCAUGCUCUUCAUUCCUCUGUCUAGGUCAAUGUUGUAAUUGCUAGCGAAACUACUCUGCGUACGAUGCCUUCUCGUCGGACAACAGUACGAUCAGACUGGGAUCAUCUCUAAAUACUAGGGCCCACAAACUGAAUCAUCUAUGGCUGUCUCUAAUUGUAUGGAGUGUUCGACACAAAUUUAUCGUACGUAUAGCAAGGUUCAAUUGCUAGGGCUACUUUCGUGCUCCCCUCUGGUCGUGAGUUCGAGACUUGAUGGCCACACUUUUUUAUGUUAAUUUUCAUUAUAUAAUAACAGGUGGGACAUCGUCCGGUACAUAUA